rnacentral:hammerhead_ribozyme from 1 species
GUACUGAUGAAGAGUCCCAAAGUAGGACAAAACAUCUGUCCAGUAC